rnacentral:rRNA from 1 species
GUAGGGAAUAUUGGACAAUGGGCGAAAGCCUGAUCCAGUCAUGCCGCGUGAUAGAUGAAGGCCCUCUGGGUUGUAAAUAUCUUUUAUCUGGGAAGAAACUCCUCUAUUCUUAGAGGCCUGACGGUACCAGAGGAAUAAGCACCGGCUAACUCCGUGCCAGCAGCCGCGGUAAUACGGAGGGUGCACGCGUUAUCCGGAUUCACUGGGUUCAAAGGGUGCGUAGGCGGGUUGAUAAGUCAGUGGUGAAAGCGCCGUGCUUAACUUGGAAACUGCCAUUGAUACUGUCAGUCUUGAAUGUCGUAGAGGUAAGCGGAAUGUUGCAUGUAGCGGUGAAAUGCUUAGAUAUGUUACAGAACACCAAUUGCGAAGGCAGCUUACUAUGCGAUAAUUGACGCUGAGGCACGAAAGCGUGGGGAGCAAACAGGAUUAGAAACCCCAGUAGUCC